rnacentral:lncRNA from 1 species
UAUGUAAAAACCUCAUAAAUUUUCUAGGAGUAGAAAUUGGAGACGGAAAAAUUAAAUUACAACCUCACAUAGCAAAGAAAGUCCUAGACAUGCCAGACAAAUUAGACAAAACUAAAGAUUUACAAAAAAUUCUAGGGAUUUUAAAUUAUGCAAGGAAUUUUAUAAAAAACCUAGGAAAAAUAGUAGGACCCCUAUAUUCAAAAACAGGAACUAAUGGACAAAAGACAUUCAACACGGAAGAUAUAAAGUUAGUGCAAAAACUCAAACAUAUGGUUAGAACCAUACCAGACUUAUCACUCCCAUUAGAAACUGACUACCCAAUAGUCAAAACGUACGAAAGUCUAGAAGGGUGGGGAGCAGUACUUAAAACAAGAAAAAAUAAGUACGGAGACAAAAAAGAUGAAAGAAUCUACGCCUACCAAAGUGGAAAAUAUAUAGAAAAGGGGAACAUAAAUAGCAUAGACGCAGAAAUAUUAGCGGUAAUCUACGACCUAAAUAGUUUUAAACUAUAUAUUAUCAAUAAAAAGAAAAUUUUGGUAAGAACUGAUUGCGAAGCUAUUGUAAAAUAUCAUCAAAUCAUAGAUGGAAAAAGUAGUAGUAAAAGAAGAUGGUUAAAUUUUUUAGAUGCCACGUCAAUAUAUAAUAAUAUAUCCCUGGAACAUAUAAAAGGGAAAGAUAAUUCGUAAGCAGACUAAUGAAGACUAAUUGUUUUUUUCCAGCAUGAAUAGAGGAGAAGACAAAGCCUGGGCCUCCAGCUCAAGCAGCACUACAGACGGAAUAGACAAAGACUUAUAGCUCCAGACUUUACUAAAAAAUACCUUGUUCAAAUCCCAGACGAAAUUAAAUGAAGCAAGAUUGAACACCCCAAGCAUUGAGAGACUGUAUUUCAUAAAACAAAAUUAUAUUUUACCCCAAUCCAACUUAAGCUUCAGAAUAAAGCCAGAAUCAAAGAUAGAUAGACUACAUAGAUGUUUGAUAGACAAUUUAUGGAUAGCAUAUAACAAAGUGCCACGAGACAAUAGUUACUCCAUUUCGGUAAUGAAUUCGCUAAGCCAUUAUUUUACAAAAAAAAAUAAUGACAAAAAAUUCAAGUUUUAUGUGGUAGUCUAAGGAAGACUGGCCGGAAUUUUUCAGACAGGGACAAAAGUAAUAGACUCAAUAAAAGAUUUUGCCACUCCCCUCUUCAAAGGAUUCAAUGACCUAAACGAAGCUUUGGAUUACGCAAGGGGAACUCUUUGACCAAAUUAUUUUCUAAGUCCAGCGUUAAGUCAAAUCACAAAUCCUUUCCCACAAUAUAAUAUCCAGAAAGACACAGACAAAAUAAUAUUUUGCGACCACUGCUCUACAAUGACUGACGGCUUCAAAAGCUAAAACCAGACCAUCGAGAGGCACGGAAAAGAAAAAGAAAAAAUGACGCAACACAUCUACCUUUUACAAGAAAUAAUCAAAAUUUUACAUUUCGAAAUCAAUCAGAACCAACCAUUACAAACAGAAGAUCAUCCAAAAGAACAAAGGAGUUCUCCAUCUUGGUCUAAAAUGAAUAAGAAAGGUGUACAUUCCCCAAUGAAUGUAGAAGAAGCUACUGUACCAGCUAAAGGUACAACUAGUCCCGUUCAAACAGUAGCGGGUAAAGACUUAUCAAAUUCGUUGAUGGCUGACACUUUGCCAAAAAGUGUAAGAAUAUUACCAACAAGCUUCAAUAUAACAAGAACUAUAGAACAGGGAAAAAGGACUAAAGGAUUUUUGUUAAAAAGAAAGAGAGACAAAAGAAUUGAACAAAUGAUACAAAAUUCCCUCCAUAAGUAACUUAGUGAAAAUACCAAAGAAGUCAUAAGUGAAAAUCCAAAACCCGAACAAGAAAUUCCAGACACGGAAUAUUCAGGAAGUAACGAUUACAGAAGUGAAUACAAUCCAUCCCAAGAACAAUUUACCCAAGACCCAAACGAAGACGACGACUCGGGGAUGAGUUUUAACGCCAUAGCAUUACACAACUUAGACAAGUAGAAAAUACGUAAGCAAUGACGAAACAAGAGAACAAACAAAGAAAGAUAGGUAAGCCAUGACAUAAUACACCACUAGUCUAAAGUUGACAAAGAAAGAGGACAAAAAAAUUUAAAACGUUUUUCCAAAGCCAUGUGAUAAUGGGGCCUAAAGAGCACCCGGCAAGUAAAAGAAAGACUAUUCAACAUUUUGAAAUCCGAAUUUCAAAUACGGAGAAAGCCAUCCUCGCCUAUAAAUACUAAACCAUUUACAAGAAGAAGGUAGAGAGAAAGAGCAAGCGGAGCAUAGCAAAGAAGAAGAAUUAGUUUUAAGAGUUAGCUUUACAUAUUUCCCUUCCCUUCAUAAAAAAAAAGUGAAGUGAGUUUGUAAAAAGAGUGAGUAUUUAGUUUUUGAAGUAGCUGCAAAGUCACUCGGGGACUCCCUAAAGGGAAACCUCUCUUCGACCACUAUCAAUGUAAGUAGUUAUGCAUUUUCUAGAUCUUAGUAGUUUCUCACAGUCUAUGUAUAUUGAUAUUAUGUACUAUAGUACUGUUGUUAUGAUUAUAAUAAUAUAUCCCUGGAACAUAUAAAAGGGAAAGAUAAUUCGUAAGCAGACUCAUGAAGACUAAUUGUUUAUUUUUAGCAUGAGUACAAGGAAAGACAAAGCCAGGACCUCCAGCUCAAGCAACACUACAGACAGAAUAGACAAAGACUUAUAUCUCCAGACUUUACUAAAGAAUACCUUGUUCAAACCCCAGACAAAAUUAAAUGAAGCAUGAUAGAACACUCCAAGCAUUGAGAGACUGCAUUUCGGAAGACAAAAUUUAAUAUUUUACCCCCAAACGAUCUUAAGUUUCAGAAUAAAGCUAGAAUCAAAGAUAGAUAGACCACAGAGAUGUUUGAUAGACAAUUUAUGGAUAGCAUAUAACAAAGUCGCCACGAGACAAUAGUUACUUCAUUUCGAUAAUGAAUUCGCUAAGCCAUUAUUUUACAGAAAAAAAUGAAGACAAAAAAUUCAAGUUUUAUGUGGUAGUCCAAGGAAGACUAGCCGGAAUUUUUCAGACAUGGGCAGAAGUAAUAGACUCAAUAAAAGACUUUCCCACUCCCCUCUUCAAAGGAUUCAAUGACCUAAAUGAAGCCAUGGAUUACGCAAGGGGAACUCUUGGACCAAAUUAUUUUCUAAGUCCAGCAUUAAGACAAAUCACAAAUCCUUUUUCCCACAAUAUAAUAUCCAAAAAGACACAGACAAAAUAAUAUUUUACGACCACUGCUCUACAAUGAUAGACGGCUUCAAAAGACAAAACUAGACCAUCGAGAGGCUGGAAAAAGAAAAAAUGACGCAACACAUCUACCUUUUACAAGAAAGAAUCAAAAUUUUACAUUUCGAAAUCAAUCAGACCCAACCAUUACAAACAAAAGAUCAUCCAAAAGAACAAAUGAGUUCUCCAUCUCGGUCUAAAAUGGAUAAGAAGGGUGUACAUUGCCCAAAUAUUGUAGAAGAAGCUACUGCAGCAGCUAAAGGUACAGCUAGUCCCGUUCAAACGGUAGCGGGUAAAGACUUAUCAAAUCCGUUGAUGGCUGACACUUUGCCAAAAAGUGUAAGAAUAUUACCAGCUACUUUUAAUAUAACAAGAACUACAUAAUAGGGAAAAAGGACUAAAGGAUUCUUGUUAAAAAAAAGAAAGACAAAAGAAUUGAACAAAUGAUACAAAAUUCACUCAAGAAGUUACUUAGUGAAAAGACCAAAGAAGUCAUAAGUGAAAAUCCAAAAUCUGAACCAGAAACUCCAGACACGAAAUAUUCAGGAAGUAACGAUUACGGAAGUGAAUACAAUCCAUCCCUAGAAGAAUUUUCCCAAGACCCAAACGAAGACGACGACUCAGGGAUGAGUUUCGACUUCAUAGCGUUACACAACUUAGACACAUAGAAAAUACGUAAGCAAUGAUGAAUCAAGAGAAAAUACAAAGAAAUAUAGGUAAUCCAUGACGUAAUACACCACUAGUCUAAAGCUGACAAAGAAAGAGGACAAAAAAUUUUGAAACGGUUUUUCAAAGUCAUGUGACGAUGGGACCCAAAGAGCACCUGGCAGGUAAAAGAAAGACUAUUCGACAUUUUGAAAUCCGAAUUUUAAAUCCGGAGAAAGCCAUCCUCGCCUAUAAAUACUAAAUCAUUUGCGAGAAGAAGGUAGAGAGCAAGAGAAAGCGGAGCAUAGCAAAGAAGAAGAAUUAGUUUUAAGAGUUAGCUUUACAUAUUUCCCUUCCCUUCAAAAAGAAAAAAAAAAGUGAGUGCUUAGUUUUUGAAGUAGGUACAAAGUCACUCGGGGACUCCCGAAAGGGAAACCUCUCUCCGACCACUAUCAAUGUAAGUAGUUAUGUGUCUUCUAGAUCUUAGUAGUUUCUCCCAGUUUAUGUAUAUUGAUAUUAUGUACUAUAGUACUGUUGUUAUAUAAUAUAAUGUUCAUACAUGAACUGUUUAUACCCAUAUAAUGGGUCAUUACUUACUCUUAGUAAUGGUUAGUUCCCUACCCUCUUAGUAAUGACGAUGGAUUAACCUGUAAAUACCUAGGGAGGUUGAAAGUCAGUCAUGGCCAGAGAACCGAAGGACUGUGUAUCCCGGGGUUUGGUUAAAGAAGAAGUUGCUAAGAACAUAGGCUAAGGAAAAGAGAUGAACAAAGUAAAAAAAAAAAGUAAAGUAAUUUUGGGAGAAAUUACAUAAAUUUAGUAACAACAAAUUACUAAACUAGAUAAGGGAACCGGAGGAGGGAGUACUGAGUAGGAUUUUACAGCAUAAUUCACAAACGCAUCAUUCAUCAUUUUCAACCUCACCACCCUUAUUUAAUUUGAACGACUUUUUUAUUGGGAGUAAUCAGAAGAUCAACAUCAAAGCAUAGAUCAGCAGUGUUCAUGGUAAGAAAUCAUAGUGAAAUAGUAAGGAAAAAAGCAAGAAUGGUUAUAAAUUACAAAAGACUCAAUGAUAACACCUGAAUGGACGGAUAUAAGCUAUCAGAUAAAAUAGAGCUAAUAAAUAGAAUACAAGGAAUAAAGAUUUUUAGUAAGUUCGAUUGUAAGUCCGGAUACUGGCAAGUAAAAAUGCAUGAAGAUAGUAUAGAAUGGACUGCUUUUACAUGUCCAGAAGGACAUUUCGAAUGGCUAGUAAAUGUCUUUCGGACUAAAAACGGCUGCUCCAAUUUUUCAAAGGAAAAUGGAUAAUAUUUUUAGAGAUUAUAAAAACUUUAUUCUUGUAUACGUAGACGAUAUUUUAGUAUUUAGUAACAAUACUAAAGAAUAUCUAGGUCACUUACAAACAGUCUUUAAGCUAUUUGUAGACAACGGUAUCAUAAUUAGUAGGAAAAAAAUGGAUUUGUAUAAAAACCUCAUAAAUUUUCUAGGAGUAGAAAUUGGAGACAGAAAAAUUAAAUUACAACCUCACAUAGCAAAGAAAGUCCCAGACAUGCCAGACAAAUUAGACAAAACUAAAGAUUUACAAAAAUUUCUAGGGAUUUUAAAUUAUGCAAGAAAUUUUAUAAAAGACCUAGGAAAAAUAGCAAGACCCCUAUAUUCAAAAGCAGGAACUAAUGGACAAAAGAUAUUCAACACGGAAGAUAUAAAGUUAGUGCAAAAACUCAAACAUAUGGUUAGAACCAUACCAGACUUAUCACUCCCAUUAGAAACUGACUACCCAAUAGUCGAAACGGACGGAAGUCUAGAAGGGUGUGGAUCAGUAUUUAAAACAAGAAAAAAUAAGUACAAAGACAAAAAAGAUGAAAGAAUCUGCGCCUACCAAAGCGGAAAAUAUAAAGAAAAGGGG